rnacentral:rRNA from 1 species
CCUACGGGAGGCAGCAGUAGGGAAUAUUGCUCAAUGGGGGAAACCCUGAAGCAGCAACGCCGCGUGGAGGAUGAAGGUUUUCGGAUUGUAAACUCCUUUUGUUAGAGAAGAUAAUGACGGUAUCUAACGAAUAAGCACCGGCUAACUCCGUGCCAGCAGCCGCGGUAAUACGGAGGGUGCAAGCGUUACUCGGAAACACUGGGCGUAAAGAGCGCGGAGGCGGGAUAGCAAGUCAGAUGUGAAAUCCUAUGGCUUAACCAUAGAACUGCAUUUGAAACUGUUAUUCUAGAGUAUGGGAGAGGUAGGUGGAAUUCUUGGUGUAGGGGUAAAAUGCGUAGAGAUCAAGAGGAAUACUCAUUGCGAAGGCGACCUGCUAGAACAUAACUGACGCUGAGGCGCGAAAGCGUGGGGAGCAAACAGGAUUAGAUACCCGGGUAGUC